AUUGAACGCUGGCGGAAUGCUUUACACAUGCAAGUCGAACGGCAGCAUAGGUGCUUGCACCUGAUGGCGAGUGGCGAACGGGUGAGUAAUACAUCGGAACGUGCCCAGUCGUGGGGGAUAACGUAGCGAAAGUUACGCUAAUACCGCAUACGAUCUAAGGAUGAAAGCGGGGGACCGUAAGGCCUCGCGCGAUUGGAGCGGCAGAUGUCAGAUUAGGUAGUUGGUGAGGUAAAGGCUCACCAAGCCGACGAUCUGUAGCUGGUCUGAGAGGACGACCAGCCACACGGGGGCUGAGACACGGCCCCGACUCCUACGGGAGGCAGCAGUGGGGAAUUUUGGACAAUGGACGCAAGUCUGAUCCAGCCAUUCCGCGUGCAGGUCGAAGGCCUUCGGGUGGUAAACUGCUUUUGUACGCAACGAAAAAGCUCUUACUAAUACUAGGAGUCCAUGACGGUACCGUAAGAAUAAGCACCGGCUAACUACGUGCCAGCCGCCGCGGUAA
rnacentral:rRNA from 1 species